ensembl:misc_RNA 7SK 7SK RNA
GGAUGUGAGGGCAAUCUGGCUGUGACAUCUGUCCUUGCAUUGAUCAACAAGGUUGAUUUGGCUGAUCUGGAUUGCCAGGCGGGUGCCCCCUUCCUCCCUCACCACUCCAUGUGAGUCCAUCCUGAAGCUGCAUGCUUCAUCAAAGAGGACGACCACCCCUGAUAGAGGAGUACCAGUCUUCAGUCAAGAAUAUAUGGAUAGCUGCACUUCCCUGCUAGAUUCUCCAAACAGGCUCUCCAAAUGCAUGCAAAACCUCUGCACUAAACACUGUAACACAUUGCUGAAACUAAUGACAGACAACCUAAAUAUCUAGAAAGAGAUGCCAUGCUUAUUGAUUAGAAAUCUCAAUAAUGUUGAGAUGUCUGUUAUUU